UGCGGGGUGGUGUAGCGGUAGCACGUCUGCCUUUGGAGCAGAAAAUCCUAGGUUCGAAUCCUAGCCCCGCAGCCA
rnacentral:tRNA from 1 species